rnacentral:rRNA from 1 species
UACGGGGGGGGGCAAGCGUUGUUCGGAAUUACUGGGCGUAAAGCGCGUGUAGGCGGUCCGGUAAGUCCGCUGUGAAAGUCGGGGGGCUCAACCCUCGGAUGCCGGUGGAUACUGUCGGGCUUGAGUACGGAAGAGGCGAGUGGAAUUCCUGGUGUAGCGGUGAAAUGCGCAGAGUAUCGGGAGGAACACCAAUGGCGAAGGCAGCUCGCUGGGACGUUACGUGACGCUGAGACGCGAAAGCGUGGGGAG